UACGGAGGGUGCAAGCGUUAUCCGGAUUCACUGGGUUUAAAGGGUGCGUAGGCGGCUAAAUAAGUCAGUGGUGAAAGCCCGCAGCUCAACUGCGGAAUUGCCAUUGAAACUGUCUAGCUUGAAUCUGGUUGAAGUGGGCGGAAUACAUCAUGUAGCGGUGAAAUGCUUAGAUAUGAUGUAGAACACCGAUUGCGAAGGCAGCUCACUAAGCCAACAUUGACGCUGAGGCACGAAAGCGUGGGGAGCGAACAGG
rnacentral:rRNA from 1 species